rnacentral:rRNA from 1 species
GAUGAACGCUGGCGGCGUGCCUAAUACAUGCAAGUCGAGCGAACGGACGAGAAGCUUGCUUCUCUGCUGUUAGCGGCGGACGGGUGAGUAACACGUGGAUAACCUACCUAUAAGACUGGGAUAACUUCGGGAAACCGGAGCUAAUACCGGAUAAUAUUUUGAACCGCAUGGUUCAACAGUGCAAGACGGUCUUGCUGUCACUUAUAGAUGGAACCGCGCUGCAUUAGCUAGUUGGUAAGGUAACGGCUUACCAAGGCAACGAUGCAUAGCCGACCUGAGAGGAUGAUCGGCCACACUGGAACUGAGACACGGUCCAGACUCCUACGGGAGGCAGCAGUAGGGAAUCUUCCGCAAUGGGCGAAAGCCUGACGGAGCAACGCCGCGUGAGUGAUGAAGGUCUUCGGAUCGUAAAACUCUGUUAUUAGGGAAGAACAUAUGUGUAAGUAACUGUGCACAUCUUGACGGUACCUAAUCAGAAAGCCACGGCUAACUACGUG